rnacentral:rRNA from 1 species
GGCCCUACGGGGCGCAGCAGGCGCGAAAACUUUACAAUGCGGGAAACCGCGAUAAGGGGACACCGAGUGCCAGCAUCCUAUGUUGGCUGUCCAUAUGUAUAAAUCACAUGUGUUAGCAAGGGCCGGGCAAGACCGGUGCCAGCCGCCGCGGUAACACCGGCGGCCCGAGUGGUGGCCACUAUUAUUGGGUCUAAAGGGUCCGUAGCCGGUUUGGUCAGUCUUCCGGGAAAUCUGACGGCUCAACCGUUAGGCUUUCGGGGGAUACUACCAGGCUUGGGACCGGGAGAGGUAAGAGGUACUACGGGGGUAGGAGUGAAAUCUUGUAAUCCCAGUGGGACCACCAGUGGCGAAGGCGUCUUACCAGAACGGGUCCGACGGUGAGGGACGAAAGCUGGGGGCACGAACCGGAUUAGAUACCCGGGUAGUCCCAGCUGUAAACUAUGCUCGCUAGGUGUCAGGGACGGUGCGACCGUUUCUGGUGCCGCAGGGAAGCCGUGAAGCGAGCCACCUGGGAAGUACGGUCGCAAGGCUGAAACUUAAAGGAAUUGGCGGGGGAGCACUACAACGGGUGGAGCCUGCGGUUUAAUUGGACUCAACGCCGGAAAACUCACCGGGGGCGACAGCAAUA